AUGCAGCCACUCUGCACCUGGGUUCUGUGGGCAGCAAUUCUACAAGAUAUGAGUCAUGGAGAUUCUAUCACUCAGUCACUCUCCUCAGAAGUUCGGACAGAAGGAGACGAGGUGGCUCUAAACUGUACCUAUGAAACCAUAGCGAGCAAUUAUGCAUUAUUCUGGUACCGUCAGCAUACAGACACACAACCCGAGCGUAUUCUGUGGAAAGAUACUUCUGGUUUUGAUGAUAAAGCAAGUUUUGCCCAAGAUCGUUUCGCCAUGGAACUUCAGACCUCGAAGAAAUUCACAAGUUUGACUGUAACUGGGCUACAGCUGUCUGACGCUGCCGUGUACUACUGCACUUUCUGGGAUGACACAUUGAUCUUAAACAGUCUCAUCGCUGUACAAAAUCUUCCUUGA